UCUCGGUUAGUAUAGUGGUCAGUAUCUCCGCCUGUCAACGUUCACCCAGCAACGGGUUUGCUGCAGCGCGCGGAAGACCCGGGUUCGAUUCCCGGACCGAGAG